rnacentral:rRNA from 1 species
AGGAUGAACGCUGGCGGCGUGCUUAACACAUGCAAGUCACGGGGGCCCAGCAAUGGGCAACCGGCGAACGGGUGCGUAACACGUGAGCAACCUACCGAAUUGUGGGGGAUAGCCGGCCCAACGGCCGGGUAAUACCGCAUACGCUCGAGACGAGGCAUUUCGACUCGAGGAAACCUCCGGGGCAAUUUGAGGGGCUCGCGGCCUAUCAGCUAGUUGGUGAGGUAACGGCUCACCAAGGCGACGACGGGUAGCUGGU